rnacentral:tRNA from 1 species
ACCUGGUUGGCUCAGUAGAUAGAGCAUGGGACUCUUGAUCUUGGAGUUGUGAGUUCAAGUCCCAUGUUGGGCA